rnacentral:pre_miRNA from 1 species
CUGGAUGUGUCAUCACGUCCAUGUAACCGUUCCAUCAUGACUAGAUGAUCACAUUCAGC